rnacentral:rRNA from 1 species
CCCUUAGAUGUUCUGGGCCGCACGCGUGCUACACUGCGUGGAUCAGCGGGUCAGGUUGCGCGAAAGCGUUUCCUAAUCUUUAAAUCCGCUCGUGAUGGGGAUUGACGGUUGCAAUUUUCUGUCAUGAACGAGGAAUACCUUGUAAGCGCGGGUCAUCAUCCCGCGCUGAAUACGUCCCUGCCCUUUGUACACACCGCCCGUCGCUCCUACCGAUUGAGUGGUCCGGUGAGGCUUUGGGAUCUGAGCGGAAAGAGCGUUUCGCUGUUUCUGCUCGGAAAACUCAGUCGAACCUUAUCAUUUAGAGGAAGGAGAAGUCGUAACA